AAAUAAACCCGAUAGCAGCGUAAAACCCGAAGGUGAGGCACGAGCCAAGGUUUUGAAGCGAAUAGCGGGGUUGUCA
rnacentral:misc_RNA from 1 species